rnacentral:rRNA from 1 species
GAGUUUGAUCAGUGGCUCAGGAUGAACGCUAGCUACAGGCUUAACACAUGCAAGUCGAAGGGGAAACGAUAUUGGAAGCUUGUCUCCCGAUAGGCGUCGACCGGCGUACGGGUGAGUAACGCGUAUCCAACCUGCCCACCACUUGGGGAUAACCUUGCGAAAGUAAGACUAAUACCCAAUGAUAUCUCUAGAAGACAUCUGAAAGAGAUUAAAGAUUUAUCGGUGAUGGAUGGGGAUGCGUCUGAUUAGCUUGUUGGCGGGGUAACGGCCCACCAAGGCAACGAUCAGUAGGGGUUCUGAGAGGAAGGUCCCCCACAUUGGAACUGAGACACGGUCCAAACUCCUACGGGAGGCAGCA